AAAAGGUUUAAUCUAUGACUAUGGUUAUUAUCUAUGAGGAUAAUGAAAAAUUAACAUUGCUUUUGUAGUAUGCUCUUGUCUUUGUUAACAAUUAUUUAAACCACGAUUGAGGUUUGUGCAAAUUUGAUAUGAAUUGGAGUUCUAGAUUGUGAAGGACGUUUUUACUGCUUAAAUUAUUAUGUCGAAAUGUCUCUCACUUGGUGUUGUCCAAAUUGUCGAAGUAAUUAUGACAAAAAUAGACCAUAUAUUUCUGCAAUCUCUUUUCCGUCGAACGACGUGCUGAAGAAGAAAUGGAUAAAUGUAAUUAAACACAAUUUUACCCCAACAAAAUAUUCAAGGUUAACAUCAUGAUGACAAUUUAUAAAUCCUCUGUAAUUGAAAAAUUGAAGGUAGUACAAUGUUUUAAACCACAAGUGGAGUCUUUCAGAAGUAUCUACAUUCUAAAGAAAGAGCUUCAUCAAGCAAAUUUCUGGACUGCCCAGAUUACAUUUCAAAGGAUGAAAUUUCCCAAGAAGACUUCAGCUUAAAAAUGAUGCAUUACACCAAGCUAUCAAUGACAGAAGCCUUUGAAUUAUGAAAUCUUGGUUUUUUUGGCUGUCUUAGUUUGAAUAUUCAAAAAUGAAGAUAUUGCCCAAUAGUCUUUGGUGCACAGAGCAAAAUAUAUAUAAAAAUGUUGGAAACAUUCAAACCAAUUGUCAAAUCCCUACAUGCAAGCAUCAUUGUUUUCAAAAGGAGUAAAAUUCAAUCAAUUAAAUUUAAGUUCUAGAAAAAAGCAAUACCUGAAAGAACUUUUUCAAUACUGUCAACAUGAUUUCAAGAAUUGGAUCACUUCAGAUUAAAUCAUAGGAAUCAUUCCGUAGAUGUGGUACCUAUUCACCAAAGAUGUUUCAGAUGUAGUGAAACAUAUUUGCUUUUAACAGACCAAAAAAAAAAACACUUCUACCUUAUACUAAAAUCUGGAACACAUGAAUCAUGAGUUGCUCAUAACGGUGCACUGUAGGAUCAAAAGAAUUUACUAAUGGGAAGAUAUCCUCAUAUGUUACCUUUGAUUUCAUUGUAUAACUGAAAUGAAGGUAACUUCUACAGAAAGAUUAUGAAGAAUAUUGGAAAAUUUGUGGAAUGAAUGAAUUACAUCAGCGGAUAUGAUAAUAUGUAUAAUGAGUCGAUGUGCUUGAAUAAUUGACCAGCUCAGUUGGAAAAGUAUUAUUUCAGCAUAUUUUUUCAGUUGGAAUGAAUCACUUCGAGGAAUUAUUUAGAGUCAUGCUAAUAAAAAUAUGAGCAAUUGGAAAGGAUGUGGUCAUCAAGUGCAUUUCAAAAGCAUAUUUGCUGUUACUUUUUGGUUUCUCAUUCUUCAUAGCAUGUUCAGACUUAACAAUUUUUUAGGUUUAUUACCAUUGUUUUUAUAGUUUUCAACUAUUGAAAUAAGAAUAGUGUAAUCAUUUUCAUAAGUAAUGCAAUUAAUGGAAAAUUUGAGUUGUCUCCUUCCAAGAAAAAAUUUGCUUCCUAAUUUUGAGCAUAAUUUUCAACAUCAAGGCUUUCCUUUCCAUUUUAUUGUUUCAUAUUUUCCAAACAUUCAACACAUUCAAAUGAAACUAUGAAAUUAUUCAAAAUUUGUUGUAUAUCUGAAUUUUUUCAACUGUUAUUAUAAUUUCACUGAAACUUCUUCAUCCUCUUUGGCAUUUGAUGAUUGAAAAGAAAUAACCAGUUUGUUCAACACUGAUAAUAUUCAUUAAUAUGUAAAAAUAUUGGAUUUCUCAUAAGUGUCAUCAGUAUUAUCUUUAUUUUAACUUUUCAGGUCAAUGGAAUCUCAUGGGACAAGAAUGACAAUUUUGUUUAAACAGAACUGGUUGUAUUGAAGUUAAAAAAAGCAGCAAAAAUUUCUUAACAAUAACAUCAAGUAUGAAUAUUUUUAUGACUCAUUCCAAACCAAUAUUUCCGAUUACUUAGAGAUGUUGAAUAAAAUGAAUUUGUUUUCAAAAUUAAAGAUUAAUGAAAAAUAUGAGCAUACUUAUUUUUCAGAAGUAUAGAUUAAAAUAUUCAAUAAUUCAAUAGAUAAAUUUAUUCAUUGUGAACUAAAAUUCGCUUUGAGAUUACAUUAUAAAUUAUCAUACAUCGAUGUUUUUUGUGCAGCAAGAUUUAAAUGUUUAAUUUUUUGUAAUAGAUUUGGCAACUGGUUUUGAGAAGUUGCUGAUUAUUAAAUUAUUUGAUUGCUACCCAUAUAAAUAAUUUUCAAGAUAUGGUUUCGAUUUUAAAUCAAAGAAGAAGACUAUCUGGUUCUCUAAAAACCAAAUUGAAGAAUCUGAACGAUUAAUGAGUACAGGGUUUUCUCAAAUGAUUUCAAUAUAAUACAUUAAAAUGUUCUCUACUGAUUUUCACUAAUCCUGGCAACUAUUCUUCAUCAAUUGUGUUUUAUCAAUUAAAGUUAUUUGCAAAUCCUUGAUAAGUAUUUCAAAACUAUUUUUCAGACCACAAAACAUUUUACAAUCUUUUGUAAAGACACUGUAUCCAUUAUAAGUAUCAUUUGAAUUCUUCGUAAUAAUAUAAAUAUAUAUUUUUAAUUUAUUGUUAAUCAUAAACAAAACAAAAUGUUCUUCGUUAUUUUUGUGGAUUAGUAAUUAAUUUGAAAUAAUUAAACUGUGAAUUAUUGUUUAAUAUCUUCAUAGUGCUUCCCAUUUUUAAUUUGGGUAUUAGUUUGAAAUGUGUACUUUUUAUUUGUAAAUAUCAUGGAUCAUUUGCGAAAGUGCAUCCACAUUUCAUUGAAUUGAUUCCCAAUGAGAUUUAUUCAUGAACGUAUUGCUGCAUUUAACAAUUUAAAGUUGUAUCAAUAAACUGAUUUUCAUUUAAAUAAAUAUAUGAAAUUGAA